rnacentral:rRNA from 1 species
CGGCGGACGGGUGAGUAAUGCCUAGGAAUCUGCCUGGUAGUGGGGGACAACGUUUCGAAAGGAACGCUAAUACCGCAUACGUCCUACGGGAGAAAGCAGGGGACCUUCGGGCCUUGCGCUAUCAGAUGAGCCUAGGUCGGAUUAGCUAGUUGGUGAGGUAAUGGCUCACCAAGGCGACGAUCCGUAACUGGUCUGAGAGGAUGAUCAGUCACACUGGAACUGAGACACGGUCCAGACUCCUACGGGAGGCAGUAGCU